CCAGGAAAGGAGUUACGAUUGCCUUGGACAUAAAGAUUUACCAUAUAGUUUUAGCUCAUAGCAACAAAUGUCAAGAGGCUGCUAACCCCCAAAACUAAAGUAGAGACUCUUUAGCAAUGUAUCUGCAUCUCCAACAGAAGGUUUUUCAUUCAGCUGAUCUUAAUGGCCAUUGCACUGAAAGCCAGAACCACAGAUUUCAUCACAAUGGCCUACACUAUCAGGGUGAAGUAUUUCAUUUGAAAGAUGCCUAUAUCGUAUACAUCUUCCAAAUAGAAUAAAAUGUUGACCAGAGUUAAAAAUAA